rnacentral:piRNA from 1 species
UACCAUAGAGUCAUAACUGAAUGGGAUCU